GUAGCAAGUCAAGUGGGCUUGAUUGUGGGGAAAACUCCACACUUAAGCAUGCUUGAGACAGAGGAGUCUUGGGAUGGGUGACCUCAUGAGAAGUCCUGGUUAUUAGGUACA
rnacentral:rRNA from 1 species